AGCUCCACCACCCUCAUACUCGCCUUCGUCUUCCCCUUCUCUCUCUUCGCAGGCACCGUCUUCGCAUCGCUCCGCAUCGCCGAUAACCUCGAAGAGAAAUUUCUCGAGGACCUUGCAAUGAAUAGAGCAUUGAUGGAGGAGAAUGAAGAAGAGGAUGAAGAAGGCAGAGAGGCCGGAAUUUCGGAGGAGGAAGUGUGGCUGCGGCCGAGCUGCGGCUGCCGCGGCCGCCGCCCGCUCCUCGGCGCGUCGCAGUAGGCCCAGACGAGAAGGCUGAGGAGAAUUGUGAUGAUCUUGUGUUUAUGUAGAGUUUGUAUGAUUCUGUUAUAUGGUUGAUAACAUGAGAUGUAUUAUGUGUUUACCUUGUUUCUCGAUCUAAGAUGUCAAACAUGCCAGUUGAUUAAUUUUAAUUUUAUGCAAAAGUUUACGCGGGCAACUUGUAUGAGUGAUGUUUGUUAUUGGCAAUUUUGCUAUCAUGUUUAUGAGUAGAUCCCAUGUAUGUAGCAA